rnacentral:rRNA from 1 species
CCCUUAGAUGUUCUGGGCCGCACGCGCGCUACACUGAUGCAUUCAACGAGCCUAUCCUUGACCGACAGGUCCGGGUAAUCUUUGAAUCUGCAUUGUGACGGGGAUAGAUUAUUGCAAUUAUUAAUCUUCAACGAGGAAUGCCUAGUAGGCGCAAGUCAUCAGCUUGCGUCGAUUACGUCCCUGCCCUUUGUACACACCGCCCGUCGCUCCUACCGAUUGGGUGUGCUGGUGAAAUGUUCGGAUCGGCCGUUUGUCGCGGUUUCCGCGUCAUGUGGCUGAGAAGUUCAUUAAACCCUCCCACCUAGAGGAAGGAGAAGUCGUAACA